rnacentral:lncRNA from 1 species
GAAGCAAUCAAGCCACAAACGCUACAUUCAAACAAGGAACAAAGAUCAUUUGGUAACUAGCAACCAAUUUUCAUAAACUUUGGGCUCAGUUUGGUAAAAGAGCUCGGCAAGUAAUUUGCACAGGAGAUUACAGUAAUCCAGAACUGUUCAGACUACAUACACAAAAUGCAUAACUACGAGUGAAUCUCAUCAUAAUUACAACGCUAUUAGCACUACUGAAAUGGCUUUCAGCUUCAAUCGAUGUUAAUGCCGCAAAGCAAGAAUCUUUAUCCAUCAUCAUCACUACAAGAUACCUCACAUUGUGCUUCACGAAUCUUUUAGAGCCUCGGAUUGUAAUUCCUACAAUUCGAAGUUCCUGCCUUCAACCUCCAUUGGACAUUUAAGCAGCCAACAAUUCACUUCAACCUCCGCCAAUUUUCCUGUAACAAAAAUUUGUAGAGAAGGACCUGAACUCCCUAACAACUUAAAGGGUCAAAUAACAGAAUAAAAAUAAAUCAAUAGUUUGAAUCAUAUGAUGAGUUUAAAUGUGAACAGCAAAUAAGUAACAGAAGGCCUGUUGAGAAUCCGGCCAACGGUGUCGCAACUGUCCUCUUAUGAUCUAUGCCCGUAUAAACGAAAUGUCCAGUUACCAUAUCAACUCUGGACAUCAGAUACCAUAGGCAAACAUACAAGUAAUGAUGAAUUAAAAAGAAAGAUUUGAACAUUAUUGGAAGAAUGAAGUGCAAUCUCAGCCGAAAGAUGGUGAAUUUGUUAAUAAUCACGAGUUAUUCAGUGAUGGAACAAUUAAAUUGCAUCACAGAUUGCAGGAUUUCAAUUCCAAUCAAACAUUGAUUUGAAACAGAAACCAAAAUCAGUAAAUGAAGCACAAGCAAGAGAGAUCAGAUGGUAGUGCAUGUAAUAUGAUCAUCAUCCAAAUACAGAAAUGGUGGAUACAUAUCCUCACAUCUCCCUUGCAAAACACUACAUCAGAUUCAAAAACUGUCAUUCAAAAUUCAAAUAAAUAACAGAAAAGCAUCGUCCUUUCUCCAUGAAGGGAUCAGAGAUACGUCAAAUCACCAGCUUCCAUAAGGAAGUAAGACUGGGUGUCAUAACAAUACAUCAUCACAUCCCAUUCAAAUGAAAAUAAAAAUAAAACAUUAAACCAGCUGAAAUCAAAGCUAGAAAAUUAGAUUUUGAAGUACACAGGAUCAGACAGAUAUGUCAAUCACCAUCUCGCAAAAGAAUUGCGAGUAAGACUGGGGCGACAAAAUUCAAUCAUCAUUUUCACAAACUUGAAAUCUAGAUUGGAGAAAGAGGAUUACAGCGAUGAACACCAUAGCCGCCGCUGGUUAUAGCCGCCGAUGGUUUGGAAGUUUCAGAUCAAGCUCUGGCAAUGCAUAUAUAUAAGCUGGACUAGGGUUUUUUUCAGAUUGGGAGAUUUGGGUUUUAUGAAGAUCGCCAACCCGGAAAAUAAUGCAGAGCGGUUU